UACGGAGGGUGCAAGCGUUAUCCGGAUUCACUGGGCUUAAAGGGCGCGUAGGCGGGCUGUCAAGUCUGGGGUGAAAUGCCACGGCUCAACCGUGGAACUGCCUCAGAUACUGACGGCCUCGAGGGAGGUAGGGGCGUGCGGAACUGUAGGUGGAGCGGUGAAAUGCGUUGAUAUCUACAGGAACUCCGGUGGCGAAAGCGGCGCGCUGGACCUCUUCUGACGCUGAGGCGCGAAAGCUAGGGGAGCAAACGGG
rnacentral:rRNA from 1 species